GGUAAGACUGCUGAAAAAUGUGUCAGUGUAGCAGAUGAUAGUUCUCCUUUCUUAAUGCCUCUCCUGAAGCAUCAAGGUGUACGUGUUUCUCAAAGGGGCUGUACAUCUCAGAGGUAGUCUAUGAACUGCACGUUGAAAUGGUUGCCAUGGCAGUGACUGAGUAUAAGUUAGAAAGCGUGAUUAGCCAGAGUUGGCCUAAAUAGCUGAAGGGAAGGGGAAAAAAAAAAAAAAGAAAGGAAAAAAAAGGCCAAGGACUUUCUGUUAUUUCUAAUACAGAUCCAUCAGCAUUAGACGGUGCCAGGAAGAGGCAGCGGCACUGAUGAAGAGGAGCUUGCAGGAGUGUGCUCCACACCCCAGCCCCAGCUGGGGUACCACCAGCAGCACCUGCUGCAAGGGGACCUUCGCCCCCUUACAACAUGCCAGCGCAGCAGCUGCACACUGGGGAGGGGCCGUUAGUACAGCCCAGUCCUAUUAGUGUUGAUCUUGUGAAAUGGUACUUCUCCAGAGUCAGAGGCCAGACUAGGGCACUGCUCAGCCUUCAGCAACCCUGAGAGCCUGGUCACAGCACUCUCCUGGCUGAUGUGGGGCAUAGUCACAUUAGAAAGUGCGAGACUGGCCUGCAGAGAGGCUGCAAGGCUUGCCACAAGUGACACAGAGGGCUGCUACCCUGGGUGGGGUGUUAAUUGAUGAACUCCCUGUGCCUAGAGCCAUUCCAUUUCUUCUAGUCCCCUUGAAGCAUGCCUCUGAAAGGUAUCCCAUCUUCAUUUGGAGCCUGAGAAUUAGAGAAUGAAGCCCUUUUUGUUAAUUCAUUGCAAUGGUUAAUCACGCUUGCUUGUUAAAAAAAAAUAAUUGCACCUUAUAUCUAAUUUAAAUGUGUAUGGUAUUAGUGUUCAGCCUCUGGUGUGUGCUCUAUUCUUCUCUGAUAUAUUUAAAGAAAAAAUAAUCACUUCUUGAGAUCCUGUGGGUUUUUUCUGUGAAGGUUUCUUAUGCGCUGGAGUUACUUUUGAGCUUGUUUUUGAAGAAGUGAAGCAGCAGAAUUCUUUCUCUCAAAGGGUUUUCUUACAGCUUUUCUCAGGGAAAAGUGGGAGACUAAGGUGAACACAUCUCAAUACCAGGUCUGAAUGGAAAAACAACCUCUCUAGGAGCUGUAGAGCCACAUUAAGGGGCCAGAUGCCCAAUGUAAAAUCAGCAGAAGAGAUUUAUGCAAGCUGAGAGUAUGCAGGUCAGGGAUCUUUCAGCAACAGAGGACCCAUAGCAACAGUGUUUGUGUGGGAGACAAAAAUGUUCAGUCUCUGGGAUGCCUACAUUUUGACUAGGAUUCCUCGAGGUUCUGUAGGAUGAAGAUCAAACUUUUUCAGGAAAAACAACUCCCAGACAAAUAAAGCAUAUGGCACAGAAGAUGAAGCGCUGAUGCCAAGUUUGUCUUUGCCUUAGCAGAACUUGCUGCGAAAUGCUGAAUCUGCAGAUCUCCUGGAACAUGCUCUUCAAGAGAACGGGGAAGGCAUAUUCCCACCGCCUUUUUAGCUGGGCUUGUGCACUCUCACUGUUUAAAUCCUCAAUGAAUAGGACAUUAUUGUGGCUGCAGUGCUGAUCUGACACACACAGUACUACCUUCAAACUAGGUGCCAUGGAUAGUAGUGCUUGUGGCAGCAGCAAAUAAAACCCAUCCAUCAGGUGGGCUACAUAUUUGAGAAGGAUCUGAAGCCCACACUAACCUGCCUUCUGCAUGCCUGUGGGCUAACUAGCUGUGACAACUGCCAUUUUGGCAAGCAGGCAUGCCUGCUGCCGUCUGGUUAGACACCCUGUUCCCGGCCAUGGUCUGCUAUCCAAUCGCUGUUUAUGCUGAUGGAAAUAUUUGUGGACAUGAUCGUAUUUGAGCUGUCCAGAAGUGACGUGUUCAGUGUGAAGUCCCUCCAUCAUGACUUGCUCUACAGUGAGCCACCUCCACAGGUUAUUUAUCCUAAAAGAGGUGUGGAGUGAUGAGAGAGGGUGCAUCUCUCUCCAUAAGCUCAGAGAAAACCUUCAGUGCCAACUCAGCCUGUAGCCAGCCAUUACAAGUCUAUCUGCUCCCAGCUCAGCCCCAUCAAAUGAGGCUCUGGGAGGACACGUUGCUGGUGGGUCCUAAUGUGGCACAGGUAAUUAGGACCUCGCCACCAACCGGCUCAGCUCUCUUCUGAAGGACGUAGGAUGCUGGAGGAACUUUAAGUGCCUCUCAGCAAUAUGCCUCUCCACGGUUGGGCAACAGCUGAAGAGGAGGUUUGAGUGUCUAAAUUAAGAAGUUAGGCAUCUAAGGCGUUUAUUGGACCUAUCUCUGCAGGGACUGAAGCUGAGCAGACUUACAUAAAAGGAAAAAAUCUCCUGCUGAUUUACUUUAAUCUUCCAGACAGCUAUGGAAAUGUUUGUGUUGUGUACUCUUACAGACAUGUUUGUUCUGUAGGCACUCUCAGACCUGAGAGAAGAGGCCAUCGUUUUACCUGGACACAUGCCAUGGAGGUACACCAUGGGUUGGGUGAGGGGUGCUGCUCUCCAAGGACCUUUGGCCUGGAGAUGUUUCGUAAGGUGGGAGGUGAAGUCCCCGCCUUUGGACCCAUGUGUCAGGAAAACCUCCUACCUGUGGGUAAGCGAUGCCUCUCUUUCCAUGAAGCAGAAGAUACCCAACAGGGUGAUGAAAUUAAUGGGCUGGGGAGCUCCUUUGUUUAAAUGAAUGCUGGGAGAGGCAAGGGAGGCUUGAUUUUUCACAUGGUUAAUGUUCCCAAUCCUCUUUUUAGUCCUCUCAUGGCAACCUGUGUACUUUGCAGUUCAAAGUCACAUGAAUCUCUGCUCAGCAGAAAUGUAAAUGUUUUGAUAAAACUGUUCUUAACAAAUUUGAUUCGUUUAAUCAGCUUGAUUAACUGCAGAGCUUUAUGGUCUUUAAUUGGGAAGGAUUUACUAUAAAUUACCAGUUUUUGUAAUUUUAUGAAGAACGUGGCAGUGCGCAGUAUCUUGCUGCCUUGGCAGUGGCAUGGAAGGUGCCUGUCUCUGGCACCCAGCCAUUCCCCUGUAGCUUCACAUGUUUCAGAGCCCUGGAGACCUCUGGGUGCCAAGCCUGCCUGAAAGGCCAGACAGAUGCUGGGCAAGGGGCAGGAUGGACAUGCAGCUGGAAGCGUCUCAAUAGACCCUAUUUCUCUUCUCUCGUGUUUUCAUCUCCCAGAUGAUUAAUCUCCCCUUCCAGUAAAAAUACAGCAUGCCUCUUCUGACAAGUCCCACAAGAAAGGAAGCACAGUUGGCCACAACAGCCCUCUCCUUGUUUUGCUUCAUAACCAGCCUCAGCCUGCACUGUGUUUUCAAAGGCUGGCGGAACAAAAUCCCCAGGUUUACCAGUAGAAAGAGAAAAAAAAGGUUGAUCAGAAAAUCUCAGCUUGGGUACACGUCACAUGUGGUCUUUCCCUUCUUUCAUUUAACGUGGCAGACUGACAGGCUGUAAAAUACAUCCAGCUGGAAAGAAGAUAAUUUUGUUUUACUCUGCCCAGCCUCAUUUUUCAGAGCUGAAUGUCCAGUCGUAUACCUGUGUGAAACCUCCGAGGCCCUGGAGGCUUAAUGCAGCAGUAUUUUUUUUAAUAGACAGUUUGUUGUCCACAUUACAUUUUUCAGUGCCUUUUUGGUCAAUAUCCCAGACUAGAGAAACCAAUGAGAGAUUGAAAACAAAUGAACUCUCCCCUUAAAUUUAGAGUUUGCCCAAAGCACCAGAGCAACUAGAGUAUUGACACAGUCUCUGCACCAGCAGAUUUGCUCUUUGCUUGGCAAGCACUGUUCUCCUGUCGCACUGCUGUGCUGCAGAGCCACUGUUCAGUGGGUCUCGGGGGUCUUGUCAUCGAAAUCCACAGGCUAAGCAACAUGGUUUCGCAGCUCUUUGCAGACAGCUUUGCACUUUUACUCCCCUCUGACUCUGAAGUGGAAUGGCACCUGAAAAAAACGGUGUAUUUCAUAAGAAAGGAAUGUUUUUCAUCCUUUCCUAGGACUUGCAUGGUCCUUCUGCAUGUACAGCUCUCACAGGCCAGCAUGAUGCAGGAGGAGACAUUUCUAACAGCAAACAACCCAGUUCCUCUUUCACCUUUGACAUUUCUACACAGUAUGAAAAGCUCUCGGCUGCUCACCAAAAGUUAGUAUUUGACCCUUUUUUUGCUUUUUUUCUUUCUUUUGCACAAACUAAACAUUCACAUGUCAUAUCCUGUAUGAGCAGUUGUUUUAAUGGAUGCGCUGCCAACAAAGAUGCUUGGGUUUAAGUGGCUGAUCCUUUGCCACCAUAAUGGCUUUUAAUGAAAGGUUUUGUCUUCGUAAGGCCAGAAUGUUCUUUAUCCAGCUUUGGCUUUUGAAAGAAACACCAUAAAUGUUUUUUGAUUGGAUGUGAAAUGUUGUGUAAAUUCUGUAAUACCAAGUUGGAAAAUCUGUCCUUUCCUUGUUAAUAGGCUAUAUAUCAAAACAGGGGGGGGUUAAAGCCUAAAUGGUUUUAUACACUAUGAAUUCAUCAGUUUUACAUCCCCAGCAAGGGGAAUAUUUAAAAACAGAAGAAAUG